rnacentral:tRNA from 2 species
GUCUCUAUCGUCUAGUUCGGUGAGGACGCUCCGUUGUGGUCUGAAUAUCGCAAAGCCGGGGAAACAGUUGUUCGAAUCAGCUUAGGGACA